rnacentral:rRNA from 1 species
AUAUUAAUAAGGGGAGGAAAAGAAACUAACAAGGAUUCCCUUAGUAACGGCGAGUGAAGCGGGAAGAGCUCAAUUUGAAAAUCGGUCACCUAACGGGUCGACCGAGUUGUAGCCUAGAGACGUACUAUCAGCUGAAACCUGGGUAUAAGUUCUUUGGAAUGAGGCAUCAUAGAGGGUGAGAAUCCCGUUUAUGACCCAAAGCUUUCAGCGUACGAUGUAUGUUCAUCGAGUCGAGUUGUUUGGGAUUGCAGCUCUAAAUGGGUGGUAAGUUUCAUCUAAAGCUAAAUAUAGGCGAGAGACCGAUAGCGCACAAGUA